rnacentral:rRNA from 1 species
AUUUAAUUAUUUAUUUUAAAUUUUUUUAAAUAAAAUAUUUUUAUGUUUUAUUAUUUAUUUAGAAAUAAUUUUUUUUAUUAUAGAUUAAAGUACAGUGAUGGAAUAUUGAAAAAUUUUGAAAAAAUUAAAUUUUUUAAAGAAUAAUUAAUUUUUAGUACCUUGUGUAUCAGGGUUUAUUAAAAAAAGGUUAAUUAAAUUAAUUUUCUCGAUUUUAAAAGAGUUAAAUAAAUAUUUUUUUUAAUGUAUAAUAAUUAUUAAUAAUGUUUAUUUUGUAAUGAAAUGUUAUUCGUUUUUAAAUAUAUCUAGUUUUUUAAGAAAUAAAUUUAAUUUAGUUAUUAAUAAGAAUUUUUUUUUUUAAAAAAUAAAAUUUUAUUAUUAAUUAAUAUUUUAGGGGAUAAGCUUUAAGAUAAAUUUAUAUAAUCAAUAUAAAUUAAAAAUAAAUGUAGAAUUAAAAAUUUUUUUCAUUUAUAGUUUGUUAUAAUUAAUUUUUAUUUUUAUUAUUAUUUAUAUUUGAUUUAUUUUUUUUUAUUAAAAUUAUAUAUUUAAUUUAAAAUUAUAAGUAAUAAUGAUAAAAUUAGUAUUAUUUAUUUUAUUAAUAUUAAAUAUAAUAAAGGUAAAAUUAAGGAAUUCGGCAAAAUAAUUUUUCGCCUGUUUAUUAAAAACAUGUCUUUUUGAUAAUAAUUUAAAGUCUGGCCUGCCCAAUGAUAAUUUAAAUGGCCGCGGUAUUUUGACCGUGCAAAGGUAGCAUAAUCAUUAGUUUUUUAAUUGAAAGCUUGUAUGAAGGGUUGAACGAGAAAAUUACUGUCUCAAUUUUAUUUAAUAAAAAUUUUAUUUUUAAGUUAAAAAGCUUAAAUAUUUUUAAAAGACGAGAAGACCCUAUAGAGUUUUAUAUUUUUUUUAAUUAAUUUUUAAAUUAUUUAUUAAAUUAUAGGAAAUAUUUUAUUGGGGUGAUAAAUAAAUUUAAUAAACUUUAUUUAUUUUUAAACAUUAAUUUAUGAUAUUAUGAUCCAAAUUUUUUGAUUAUAAGAUUAAAUUACCUUAGGGAUAACAGCGUAAUUUUUUUUGAGAGUUCUUAUUGAAAAAAAAGAUUGCGACCUCGAUGUUGGAUUAAAAUUUAUUUUUGGUGUAGAAGCUAAGAAAAUUAAGUCUGUUCGACUUUUAAAAUUUUACAUGAUCUGAGUUUAAACCGGUGUGAGCCAGGUUGGUUUCUAUCUUUAAAUAAUUAUAAUAUUUUAGUACGAAAGGACCAAAUAUUAAUAAAAUUUAUUUAAAUUUUGAAUAUUAUU